CUGAGUCACAUCACCUUGCGAGGGAAGGCCGCAGCCUGCCCCCUCGGAGCGCAGCAGCGCAGGCCGGGCAGCCGCCAGCUCCAGCCCGGAGGAGCUUUUUGCGUGGUUGCACAUGACGCCGUGUGGAGGUAUCACACUGGCAAGACCACAAGAAACCAGAGCUCUUCCAGUUGUGUAGCUGUCAUAGAUGGGAGUCAUUACUGGACUUACAGAAACCUCUAAGGUCCUCAGCCUUCCAAUGGAAGGUAGAAAGGAGAGAGUAGAGUGCAAAUAGCCCCUCGUAUCUGGUCCAAAACAACCACGCAAUGCCUGUCGCUGCGCUGCAAACAGUCGUGUUUGUAGAACCUCUGCUCAGUGAAGUCUCUCUCGCACGCACGUGUAUUCCUGAGGGAGCAGCACUGCAGUCUCUCAGGUCGUCCGCUCAAACCCUGAAUGCUUUUGUGUGUGCCAGCCUUAUAGAUGCCAGGGAGGAAGUGGGCAAGGCUGAUGAAAACAGGAGCUGGGGUGAACUAUAUGUCCUGUUGGGACUCUUCCUUGAGGGCAACUGCUUGCUGUCCUGUGGUGUGAGGUGAUGCUCUUAGGAGAGCUGUGGCACGGUAAGAAUUACCAUCUUUUUCUUCCAGAGCCACACAGACUAUAGCAGCCUUCCCCCUGGAGUGUUGCCUGAAUCCAAAACCAAAAUGGCUAAUGGGUUUAACCUAGCUGCCUUCCCCUGCAUCUUAGAGGUUUCUUGUGUGUGUAAACGGUCCAAUAUGGAAACGCAUUUUCCUUUCCCAAGCUCUCCCGCUUGUAAUGCAUCCUGCAAAUAUGCAGAUUUUGUGCUCAAUUAUCCUUUUCCAGCGUCUGUUCCAAAAAAAUACUAUCUUUUCCUGGCCAUCCUUUGCUGAUGGUCUGGUUUUAUUACCCCUUUACACUGGCCCUCAGUAUCAAUACUGCAGAGCUGUCAGCAGUGCACUGGGUAUGGGCACCCCUUAAUGCCAGCCCUGCUCCUCCACCUGACCCCAACUGUGCCUUCAAGUGUCCUUUUGUUUGAAGCCAUACAAGAUGUCAGGGAGAAGCUGGCCAAGGAUGAGCUCUAGUGCACUGAAACACAACAAAGCACAACUUUUAUCUAUACUCAUGCCAACUCAGCUUUUCAGGAGACUCAGUCUACAGCUCUCUCCCCUUGGCUGAGCAGUAAAAUCUAUUGCAAUGGCUGUACUUGCUCAUCAGAAAACAUGAGCUCAGCUUGUCUUUGUCUAGGAGCCUCUGGGCAGCAAUCAAAACUUCAUAGAAAACAACUGGGUAUUAAGCUCCACCCUGACAGAGGACAAUUCAGACGGCAGCCGAUGUGUGAAAGUCCUGCAGAUGUCCACAGUGGUCUGGAAAAAGCCAUUUCUGCAUCUUCUGUCUGCAGAGGAGAAUUUGAGGGAAAUUGCACGUUUCUCAGAACAAGGAAAGUUGAAGCAGGUUUCUUGCAUUAAAAUUGGACAUUGUUUAAGCCAAAAAAAAUCUUUUGUUGGAGGGGAUUGUGGAAAGAAAACUGCUAACCAUCUUUGUAGGACUGGUUUAGAAAGAAAAUGCCAAACAACCGUAAUGGGACCAUGAUGUGAUACCAACUAACUGUUUUCUCUUUAGUAGUGUUCUUACUAUAAAAUAUAAGGCGCAUUUCAUGUCUAAAA